UACGAAGGGGGCUGGCGUUGCUCGGAAUUACUGGGCGUAAAGCGCACGUAGGCGGCUUUCUAAGUCGGAGGUGAAAUCCUGGAGCUCAACUCCAGAACUGCCUUCGAUACUGGAGAGCUUGAGUCCGGGAGAGGUGAGUGGAACUGCGAGUGUAGAGGUGAAAUUCGUAGAUAUUCGGAGGAACACCAGUGGCGAAGGCGGCUCGCUGGCUCGAUACUGACGCUGAGGUGCGAAAGCGUGGGGAGCAAACAGG
rnacentral:rRNA from 1 species